GUCACCCUUCCGGAAGCAUCCCCCACAGGCUCCCCCAGUGCCUUGCUCGGAUGCCACGGACACAGCCCAAGAAUACUCACUGAUGAUGGCAGUAAACCCUAGACGAUGGAGAGAGGGGAAACAAUGACCAAUGUGGAGACGAUGCCGGAUUUCAUUCAUUCAGUCAAGGAAUGUUUGUCAGGCACCUGCCAUGUGCCUAGUACAGACCUAAGCUCGGGGAUCUCACCAGCCAGAUGGGUUAAGGGGCAUGAAGAGACUUGGAAUUGCACUGAUAGGAAAACGAAGCAAUUGUUCACCGAGUCCUCGGGCCUGGUGAAAGAGACCCAAGCAGCAACGCUCUCGCAGCACCAUGGAAACCAGGCCUGCCGCUGGGCAUGUUGGGAAGCAGCAAGACCUUUCUCCUGAAUGCUAGGACAACCUCGUGAG